UGAAAGUUUUAAAGGGCCGCGGUAAUUUGACCGUGCAAAGGUAGCAUAAUCGUUAGUUUUUUAAUUGGAAUCUUGUAUGAAUGGUUUAACAAAAGAAUAACUGUCUCUAUAUUUUUACUGAAUUUAACUUUUAAGUGAAAAGGCUUAAAUGUUUUAGAAAGACGAUAAGACCCUAUAAAGCUUGAUAAGUUUUAUUAUUUAGCUAAAUUAAGAUGUAUAAAAGCUUAGUAGGAACAAUUUGUUUUAUUGGGGCGAUAAUGAUAAAAUGUUUGUUAACUGUUAAUAAAAAGAGACAUAAAUUUGGUGUGUAAGUAUGUAAAUGAUCCUUAAGUUAAGAUUAAAAGUUUAAGUUACUUUAGGGAUAACAGCGUUAUUUUUCUUGAGAGUUCAUAUCGAAAGAAAAGUUUGCGACCUCGAUGUUGAAUUAAAAUUUCUAUAUAAUUGCAGAAGUUAUAUUAGAGGGUCUGUUCGACCUUUAAAUUUUUA
rnacentral:rRNA from 1 species